rnacentral:tRNA from 2 species
GCCGAAGUGGCGGAACUGGCAGACGCAGCGGACUCAAAAUCCGCCGGGGCUCACCCCCCGUGUGGGUUCGACUCCCACCUUCGGCACCA